rnacentral:rRNA from 1 species
UCCGUAGGCGGCUUUGUAAGUCAGCGGUGAAAGCCCAUGGAUUCAUUAUGGACCGGCGAUUGAUACUGUCUGACUUGAAUUAUUUAGAGGUAACUGGAAUAUGCGGUGGAGCGGUGAAAUGCUUAGAGAUUACAUGGAACACCAAUUGCGAAGGCAGGUUGCUGCGCCUAGAUUGACGCUGAUGGACGAAAGCGUGGGUAGCGAACAGGAUUAGAUACCCUGGUAGUCCACGCCGUAAACGAUGGAUACUAGCUGUUGGGAGCAAUCUCCGUGGCUAGUUGAAAGUGAUAAGUAUCCCACCUGGGGAGGGGAGUCGCAAGAAUGAAACUCAA